rnacentral:rRNA from 1 species
GACGAACGCUGGCGGCGUGCCUAAUACAUGCAAGUUGAGCGCUGAAGGUUGGUACUUGUACCCACUGGAUGAGCAGCGAACGGGUGAGUAACGCGUGGGGCAUCUGCCUCUUAGCGGUGGACAACAUCUGGAAACGAAUGCUAAUACCGCAUAAAAACUUUAAACACAAGUUUUAAGUUUGAAAGAUGCAAUUGCAUCACUCAAAGAUGAUCCCGCGUUGUAUUAGCUAGUUGGUGAGGUAAAGGCUCACCAAGGCGAUGAUACAUAGCCGACCUGAGAGGGUGAGCGGCCAACACGGGAAUGAGAAAAGGCCCAAAACCCUACGGGGGGGAGCAGUAGGGAAUUAUUGGAAAUGGGGGGAAGUCCUACCGCGCAAAGACGGGGGAGUGAAGGAGGUUUUUGGAUCGUAAAAGUCUGUUGGUAGAGAAGAAAGAUGGUGAGAGUGGAAAGCUCAUGAAGUGACGGUAACUAAACAGAAAGAGACGGCUAACUACGUG